rnacentral:rRNA from 1 species
UACGGAGGGUGCGAGCGUUGUCCGGAAUCACUGGGCGUAAAGGGCGCGUAGGUGGCGCGACAAGUCAACGGUGAAAGCUCGGCGCUCAACGCCGAGUCGGCCGUCGAUACUGUUGGGCUUGAGCACUGUAGAGGCUAAUGGAAUUCCGGGUGUAGCGGUGGAAUGCGUAGAGAUCCGGAAGAACACCGGUGGCGAAGGCGGUUGAGCUGGGCAGUUGCUGACACUGAGGCGCGACAGCGUGGGGAGCAACAGGG